rnacentral:rRNA from 1 species
CACACAGUAAACGAUGAAUACUCGCUGUUUGCGAUAUACAGCAAGCGGCCAAGCGAAAGCAUUAAGUAUUCCACCUGGGGAGUACGCCGGCAACGGUGAAACUCAAAGGAAUUGACGGGGGCCCGCACAAGCGGAGGAACAUGUGGUUUAAUUCGAUGAUACGCGAGGAACCUUACCCGGGCUUAAAUUGCACCUGAAUAAUGUGGAAACAUGUUAGCCGUAAGGCAGGUGUGAAGGUGC